rnacentral:rRNA from 1 species
CCUACGGGAGGCUGCAGUGAGGAAUAUUGGUCAAUGGACGCAAGUCUGAACCAGCCAUGCCGCGUGCAGGAAGACGGCUCUAUGAGUUGUAAACUGCUUUUGUACGAGGGUAAACGCAGAUACGCGUAUCUGUCUGCAAGUAUCGUACGAAUAAGGAUCGGCUAACUCCGUGCCAGCAGCCGCGGUAAUACGGAGGAUUCAAGCGUUAUCCGGAUUUAUUGGGUUUAAAGGGUGCGUAGGCGGUCGGAUAAGUUAGAGGUGAAAUCCCGAGGCUCAACUUCGGAAUUGCCUCUGAUACUGUUCGGCUAGAGAGUAGUUGCGGUAGGCGGAAUGUAUGGUGUAGCGGUGAAAUGCUUAGAGAUCAUACAGAACACCGAUUGCGAAGGCAGCUUACCAAGCUACUUCUGACGUUGAGGCACGAAAGCGUGGCGAGCAAACAGGAUUAGAUACCCUAGUAGUC